rnacentral:rRNA from 1 species
GACGAACGCUGGCGGCGUGCUUAACACAUGCAAGUCGAACGGAAAGGCCCUGCUUUUGUGGGGUGCUCGAGUGGCGAACGGGUGAGUAACACGUGAGUAACCUGCCCUUGACUUUGUGAUAACUUCAGGAAACUGCGGCUAAUACCGGAUAGGAGCUCCUGCUGCAUGGUGGGGGUUGGAAAGUUUCGGCGGUUGGGGAUGGACUCGAGGUUUAUCAGCUUGUUGGUGGGGUAGUGGCUUACCAAGGCUUUGACGGGUAGCCGGCCUGGGAGGGAGACCGGCCACAUUGGGACUGGGAUACGGACCAGACGCCUACGUGAGGCAGCGGUGGAGAAUAUGGCACAAUGGGCGGAGGCCUGAUGCAAGAACGCCGGGUGCGGGAUGACGGCCUUCGGGGUGGAAACCGCGUUCGCUAGUAACGAAGCGUGAGGGACGGUAAUGGGUAAAGAAGCACCGGCUAACUACGU